AUUUUUAUUGAUUAUUAGGUUUAUUCAAGGCCCUUGCAUUCUAAUAUAAAUUUAAUACUAUUAAAGUCAUUUCUGUAGUAUUCCUUAGUACUAACUAGCUUUUUUAUAUGACCAAGUUAUUUGUGAAUGCUUAUUUCUAACCCUCUUAAAAUACAUUUAAAUUUCAAGUGUAAUUUCAGUGUCAGCAUACCAUUAAGAAAAGUUGCUAGAAUUUGUAACUGUCAGUGAAGGAUGCAUUUUAAAAUAUUUUUUCUAAAUGCCCAGAUUUUCCAGAAAUAAUACAAAAAUCAGGUUACAAGACUUAUUUAAUAGCCUGGUUUUCUAACCAACUAGAUAUUAAAUUAAAUGCAGGCAUAGAAUAAUUAGAGUGAUUCUAGAGUAUGGUAUAUUGUUCCUGUUGGAGCAGCUGGCUACUUUUCAGUCUUUUUGUCCCCAAUGUUCAAGGUUGGAUUUAAUAUAUAUUGAAAGAAGCAAGCUUGGGAAACCCAUGAAAAGUCUGGAUUUAAUAAACUAAUAACAAAUUCAGCUAUUUGGCUAGUAAUAGCUAAUGUUAAAAAUGGAUCUUUUUCCGUAACUUCACAGAAUGCACUCCCCAUUUUCCUGUAGGCCUCUUAAAUUGUAAAUCUCAGAGAAAAGCAGAGUGAAAUACUCCAAAGUAGCCAAAGUGAGGCAGCUUGAUAUACUAUGUGAUAACACUUAGCAUGGCUAAUAAUAGCACAUGGUAGGUAUUUACUCAGUGUCUGCUAAAUGAGUAAAAAUAUAGUAAUAGAAUAUAUUUUUGAAAUAUUUACUAUACUAGUCAUAAAGCUUUUCCAUCCUCUCCACUGUUUCAUUCCAUCAGCACUUUACUGAACAUUUACUAAAUUUAGACACUGAGCUAUUUCUUAAGGCAGAGAGCAAUACAAAGAUAAAAAUACAUAAUUACUACUCUCAGGGACUCAGAGGCUAGUGGGCAAGAUAGACUUUUAAACAAACAAAACACACAUUUUUGAGGACAACAAUGAACACAUGCUCAGUGGAAUGUUGGCACACUCAAAGGCCAUGUCAUUAGCACCAUCUCAAGUGCUGCAUAAUAUGUUUUUGUCCCAUUUAAUGAGACAGUUAAGGCAGGCUGAUUGUGUCAUAUGCCCAGAGAAACCUCUUGUUCCUGCUGGAGGUAAGUGAGAUGCACUUUAUAGCUACGUCUGCAAGCUGAAUAGAUGGUGGGUACAACUGAAAAUGUUAAUUUUGCUAUUUCAUCAAGCAAAGCUGGGAUCGAUUGCUUAUUAUGGUAAACCAUGAGCACGGGACAGUGUAUGGUAUAUCAAAGAUGCUCAAUCAAUAUUGGUGAGUAAAUGAAAAAAAUUCAGAUAUGUGUAUGAUACUCUGUUAGGUGUUCAAGAAGAUGGAAAGGAACAUGUAGUCUGUCAGCAAGGGUGAAGCAAGUAGACAAACAAUUGUAGCACAAAGCUAAGUAUUACAUAAAAUACAUACAGUAUUUUUGUUUGGAAAUGUGUAUUACUGGAUUCUCACAACUAUAUAAUGAGGUAAACAUCAAUCUCAUUUUUCAGAGGAAGAGCAAACCUCAUCAAGAGGUGAUCGUAACAAGAAGAUGAAGUGCUAUAAGGAGUUUCUUUCCCUGCUAUACUUGUAAUGAAGGAAAACCAAAGAGUUGAAUAAAAGCUUCCACAUUCAGUCUCUUCUUAUCCAUCCCUACUACCCAAGAAACUCAUGCUUUUCCAGCCCAAGCCAGCCAAGUCAUGAAACAUCCAAGUUAACCUCUUACUCCCUGGACUUGGAAACCUUUUGUUGUUUCUGUUUGUUCUCCAGCCCUGGGUCCAUGCUCAGAGGAUUAAAUUGUUCUUUACAUUGAACUCCAAUUAAUAGUUUUCUUGUCUGGAACUCAGGCAGUUUUAAACCAUGGCCAAAAAUUAUUUGACACUACUCCUAGCGAGAGAUGGGGGUCUUUGUUCCCUCCCCUUGAAUAUAGCUAGUCUUGUGAUUGUGACUGUUUCAACCAGGUGAGCGUGAUGGAAACGACAGUGUGGCUUAUGAAGCUAAGAUAUGAAUGGCAGUGCAGUUUCAAGCUUGUUCCUGGAACACUCACUGUUGGAGCUCUAAGCCACCAUGUAAAGCCUGAACACCUCGAAGCUGUCUGCUGUGAAUUAGCUCAGGCUCCCUGGAGAGACUAUGCAUAGGCACUGAGCCCCACCAUGAGUGAAUGAGCCUUCAGAUGAUUCCAGCUCUUUCAGUUUUUGCUCAGCCUUUGAAUCUUCCUGGCUGAUGCCACAGACAAGGAGAAGCAGGGUGAAGCUGUUUUUACUGUGCAUUUUCUGAAUUCCUGAGGCCAGACUCUGUGAGCUUAAUAAAAUGGUGGUUGUAAGUGGCACUGCCAGAUUUUGGGGUGAUUUGUUACACAGCAAUAGUAACCAAAACAGGAUAUUUGAAUCCAACUUGAGCCAGACUUCUUAAAAAUGACUGAAGUCAGCUAUUUUUUUCUGUGGUCCUGGAGCUAAAUGCAACUAUUCUCUCAGGCUAACAUGCUCUUCCCAAAUGUUCCAUUAACUCAAGCAGCCUGAAGGAGGAACUGCUUCCUAUCACAGAUAUGCUCAAGGAGGCCCUAUACAUAGUUAGAGAUUUCUCUUGGUAAGUCAUAUCCUUCCCUUAAUAAGUCAUAUCCUUAUAUGUGAAACUUCUGGAUCCUGGGAUUAAAGAACUCAAUUUGCUUUGCUUUCCACUUUCUAGAAAUUUUCUUCUUAAAAAGCGUGAAUGAGCUUGUCUCCUGGUCCAAUUUGGAUUUAGCUGAAGACUCUAACCUGAAUGUUUUCUUCAUCAGGACCUAAGGACACAUACACCCUGAAUGUGAGACGCCAGAAGGGAGGACAAAGUAAAGGUAGACAACAUGAAUAUAAAUUGAAAGCACAGGAGAAAAAUCAGAACUAAAAGGAAAUGUUAAAAUUAUAUAUAUAUAUAUAUAUAUAUAUAUAUAUAUAUAUAAUUCUUUUUCAUUUACUGUGUGCCAUUAUGUUACAUGUAUGAUGUAAUCUCGACAUAACAGUUCUAAUGAUGUAGGUAUUUUAUUAUACCCAUGAUAAAAGGAGGCCUGUAUCUUUCUUAAGGUGGGCAGAGCUUAUAGUUGUACAUAUUAGUCUCACACCAGAUCCUGCUCUCUUAAUCUUUAGGCCCUACAGUCUAGAAAUAAUCAAACUUAAUUUUAUACUAAUAUUAAAGUGUUAUUUGCCUUUUUUCAACUCUCAUUAUCCCAUGAGUAUGUGGGGGAAUUUUCCAGCAUAUAUUUGGAAGCUGUACAUACCUGAGUCAAUAUAUUAGAAACUUUCAAUGCACAAAGUUACAAAAUCAUGUGAAAGAUCCACUCAAAAUGCUAUAUACAUGAAUGGAUUUUAAUGCAACAGAGUACCAAAUACAGAUUUCACAUCACAAGUAACCCCUCCGAAACUCACUUUUCAAAUUUUGGUAUGUCAUCAAAGAAGACUAUCCACAAUGAUCUGAAAAGGCUGUUAAAAUAAUCCUGUCUAGUUUUUGUUGUUGUUGUUGUUACAUAUUUGUAUGAGGCUAGAUUUCUUCAUAUACUUCAAAAACCCCACAAGGAAUUAAACACAGAAGAUAUGAGCAUAGCAGUGUCCUGUUAACCCAAAUAUUAAAGAAAUUUGCCAUUCUUUUUACUAAAUGUUUUGUUAUAAAAAUAUAGUUAUUUUGGCUAUGUUAUUGAUGUUACCAUGUUAGCAUUGUUAUUUUAAAAUGAAUAAAUUUUACUUAAAUAUCUGUUUUAAGUUUGAA